rnacentral:rRNA from 1 species
ACGCACGCUGGCGGCGUGCUUAACACAUGCCAGUCGCACGGAAAGGCCCUGCUUGCCGGGUACUCGAGUGGCGAACGGGUGAGUAACACGUGGGUGAUCUGCCCUGCACUUCGGGAUAAGCCUGGGAAACUGGGUCUAAUACCGGAUAGGAGCCAUUUUUAGUGUGAUGGUUGGAAAGUUUUUUCGGUGUAGGAUGAGCUCGCGGCCUAUCAGCUUGUUGGUGGGGUAAUGGCCUACCAAGGCGGCGACGGGUAGCCGGCCUGAGAGGGUGGACGGCCACAUUGGGACUGAGAUACGGCCCAGACUCCUACGGGAGGCAGCAGUGGGGAAUAUUGCACAAUGGGCGCAAGCCUGAUGCAGCGACGCCGCGUGGGGGAUGACGGCCUUCGGGUUGGAAACUCCUUUCGCUAGGGACGAAGCUUUUUGUGACGGUACCUAGAUAAGAAGCACCGGCUAACUACGUG